AUUAACCUACGGGGGGCAGCAGUGGGGAAUAUUGCACAAUGGGGGAAACCCUGAUGCAGCAACGCCGCGUGAAGGAAGACGGUUUUCGGAUUGUAAACUUCUGUUCUUAGUGAAGAAGAAUGACGGUAGCUAAGGAGCAAGCCACGGCUAACUACGUGCCAGCAGCCGCGGCAAUACGUAGGUGGCAAGCGUUAUCCGGAUUUACUGGGUGUAAAGGGCGUGUAGGCGGGAAAGCAAGUCAGAUGUGAAAACCAU
rnacentral:rRNA from 1 species